GAGCAUUUGCUUAGGUUCUUUGCUGACUAUUGGGUCUUCCCCAGGAGGCCCAAUUACUGCUCACUGUAAAAGCUUUUUGGAUCAUGACUUCAGCAGAAAUAUAUUAACGAUUACUCUUGGAGUCUCUGCUUAUUAGUGGCAGUAGAGAAGAAGAGAGAAGAUGAGGCCCAGGAAACAGAAGGAAUUGCUGAGGAUGUUCAAGUUAGCGAACCUCAAACCCAAGAGUCUUGACCCCAGGCUCUCUGACUCUGCACUGUCUCAUUACAUUAAUGGGGCAAGAAUAAAUAAAUAAAGUGAAACAUUUGUUAUAUCAAAA